CGUAUGCAACCUACCUUAUACAGGGGAAUAGCCCGAAGAAAUUCGGAUUAAUGCUCCAUGGUUUAUCGAUAUGGCAUCGUAUUGAUAAUAAAGAUUUAUCGGUAUAAGAUGGGCAUGCGUAUCAUUAGCUAGUUGGUGUGGUAACGGCAUACCAAGGCAACGAUGAUUAGGGGUCCUGAGAGGGAGAUCCCCCACACUGGUACUGAGACACGGACCAGACUCCUACGGGAGGCAGCAGUGAGGAAUAUUGGUCAAUGGAGGCAACUCUGAACCAGCCAUGCCGCGUGCAGGAUGACGGUCCUAUGGAUUGUAAACUGCUUUUGUACAGGAAGAAACCUCCCUACGAGUAGGGACUUGACGGUACUGUAAGAAUAAGGAUCGGCUAACUCCGUGCCAGCAGCCGCGGUAAUACGGAGGAUCCGAGCGUUAUCCGGAAUUAUUGGGUUUAAAGGGUUCGUAGGCGGCUUUGUAAGUCAGUGGUGAAAUUUCCUAGCUUAACUAGGACACUGCCAUUGAUACUGCAGAGCUUGAAUAGUAUGGAAGUAACUAGAAUAUGUAGUGUAGCGGUGAAAUGCUUAGAUAUUACAUGGAAUACCAAUUGCGAAGGCAGGUUACUACGUAUUUAUUGACGCUGAUGAACGAAAGCGUGGGGAGCGAACAGGAUUAGAUACCCUGGUAGUCCACGCCGUAAACGAUGGAUACUAGCUGUUCGGUUUUCGGACUGAGUGGCUAAGCGAAAGUGAUAAGUAUCCCACCUGGGGAGUACGUUCGCAAGAAUGAAACUCAAAGGAAUUGACGGGGGCCCGCACAAGCGGUGGAGCAUGUGGUUUAAUUCGAUGAUACGCGAGGAACCUUACCAGGGCUUAAAUGUAGAUUGACAGAUUUGGAAACAGAUUUUUCUUCGGACAAUUUACAAGGUGCUGCAUGGUUGUCGUCAGCUCGUGCCGUGAGGUGUCAGGUUAAGUCCUAUAACGAGCGCAACCCCUAUUGUUAGUUACCAGCGCGUAGUGGCGGGGACUCUAGCAAGACUGCCGGUGCAAACCGUGAGGAAGGUGGGGAUGACGUCAAAUCAUCACGGCCCUUACGUCCUGGGCUACACACGUGCUACAAUGGCAAGUACAGAAAGCAGCUACCUGGCAACAGGAUGCGAAUCUCCAAAGCUUGUCUCAGUUCGGAUUGGAGUCUGCAACUCGACUCUAUGAAGCUGGAAUCGCUAGUAAUCGGAUAUCAGCCAUGAUCCGGUGAAUACGUUCCCGGGCCUUGUACACA
rnacentral:rRNA from 1 species